rnacentral:rRNA from 1 species
AGGACCGGAGUGGACGCAUCACUGGUGUUCGGGUUGUCAUGCCAAUGGCACUGCCCGGUAGCUAAAUGCGGAAGAGAUAAGUGCUGAAAGCAUCUAAGCACGAAACUUGCCCCGAGAUGAGUUCUCCCUGAGACUUAGAGUCUCCUGAAGGAACGUUGAAGACGACGACGUUGAUAGGCCGGGUGUGUAAGCGCAGCGAUGCGUUGAGCUAACCGGUACUAAUGAACCGUGAGGCUUAACCUU